UACGGAGGGGGCUAGCAUUGUUCGGAAUUACUGGGCGUAAAGCGCGCGUAGGCGGAUUGACAAGUUGGGGGUGAAAGCCCAGAGCUCAACUCUGGAACUGCCCUCAAAACUGUCUGUCUAGAGUCCGGAAGAGGUGAGUGGAAUUCCUAGUGUAGAGGUGGAAUUCGUAGAUAUUAGGAAGAACACCAGUGGCGAAGGCGGCUCACUGGUCCGGUACUGACGCUGAGGUGCGAAAGUGUGGGGAGCAAACAGG
rnacentral:rRNA from 1 species